rnacentral:rRNA from 1 species
CCUACGGGAGGCUGCAGUGGGGAAUAUUGGACAAUGGGGGCAACCCUGAUCCAGCCAUGCCGCGUGUGUGAAGAAGGCCCUCGGGUUGUAAAGCACUUUCAGUGAGGAAGAACGCCUGGUGGUUAAUACCCAUCAGGAAAGACAUCACUCACAGAAGAAGCACCGGCUAACUCCGUGCCAGCAGCCGCGGUAAUACGGAGGGUGCGAGCGUUAAUCGGAAUUACUGGGCGUAAAGCGCGCGUAGGUGGCUUGAUAAGCCGGUUGUGAAAGCCCCGGGCUCAACCUGGGAACGGCAUCCGGAACUGUCAAGCUAGAGUGCAGGAGAGGAAGGUAGAAUUCCCGGUGUAGCGGUGAAAUGCGUAGAGAUCGGGAGGAAUACCAGUGGCGAAGGCGGCCUUCUGGACUGACACUGACACUGAGGUGCGAAAGCGUGGGUAGCAAACAGGAUUAGAUACCCCUAGUAGUC